CUAAGUUGGAAUGUGUCAUGUCAUGGACCUUCUCUGACCCCUACCAUCCAUCUCUCCCUAGGUUUGGAGCAGAGUUGAACACUGGUAACUGGUGGCUGCUUCCUGUGCUGCUUAUUCACAUGACCACUGGGAACACAAAGCAUAGGAUCAUAAAAAUAUCCUGGUAA
rnacentral:lncRNA from 1 species